rnacentral:lncRNA from 1 species
GAGAGUCAACCGGGAGCUCGGAGGAGGAGCAGACAGGACGUGGGAGAGCUCGGGAGAGACCCAGGCUGGGCGUCUUGCAGCUCAGACCCUUGGCCACCCAAGCAGCGUAGCCGGCAUCACAGCCCACGGCGUGAGGCCACCAAGACAGACAGAGGAGGCUACAACUGAAAACACCAGUCAUAUUACCAAGGCUGUGACCGAAAUCGUGUCUCUGAGAAUGUGCCUCAAGCGUUCCAAGCCUGGCCGGCCGCGCUGGCUCACGCCUAUCAUCCCAGCACUUUGGGAGGCUGAGGUGGGAAGAUCACCUGGUGUCAGGAGUUUGAGACCAGCCUGGCCAACAUGGUGAAACCCCAUCUCUACUAAAAAUACUAAAAUUAGCUGGGCGUGGUGACAGCCGCCUGUAAUCCCAGCUACCUGGGAGGCUGAGACAGGAGAACCGCUUGAACCCGGGAGGCAGAGGUUGAAGUGAGCCAACAUCGCGCCAUUGCGCUCCAGCCUGGGCAACAAGAUCAAAACUCCAUCCCCCCUCCAAAUAAAAAGAAAGUUCCCAGCCUUACAGCGAGAGUAAAUAAAAACUGUCACCAUCUGGCAGGCCCAGGAACCUCAGGGCUAUCGGUCAAAUCUAAAGCCUGCCUUGGUUUGGCUUCUUAGCCUCAAGAGGCCAUUAAAUCUGAGAUUCCCAUCUGAUCAACAUAGGGAGAAAAGCUUAUGUUUCUAAAGAAAAGCUGUAGGCCUGGGUGCAGUGCCUCACGCCUGUAAUCCCAACACUUUGGGAGGCUGAGGUAGGAGGAUCACUUGAGCCCAGGAGUUCGAGACCAGCCUGGGCAAAAUAGAGAGACCCUUAUCUCUAUACUUUUUGAAAAAGGAAAAGAAAAGCUAUAAUACAUCUGUUAGGAGAUUGUAGCUCUGGGCAUUGUAUUUGAGCUCUUAUAUCUACCUACAGACUAGACUAGAUCCUAAAUUCUUCUAGAUUCCUUCAGUCAAAAUUUCUUCCAUGGAAUUACUAAAAAUAAAAACUGCUCUGUUCCUAAAUCCCUAUAAACUGAAACUAGAUGAAUUUUAAGGAACAAGUCUCAUAUCUGACAUAUGGGCCCCACAGGAGUUCACCAAACCAUCCAAUGCCAUAACCACAGACAUUUCACCUGCAAACCAGGCAGAGAAGCUGGCGUUUUCACACUGUAGCCAGGGCUUCCAGUUCAUCGGGACGAGAUUCUGUAUCAGAGACGCCCUCCCUCUUACCGUCUACCUGCUCGUGCCACAGGAUCAUGGUCAUUUAGUUCAUUCAACUGGUGAUCUUAAGCCUAGGUUUGUAGCUCAAAACUGUUAUGCAAACUGGGAUUUUCAUAUUACUAUUAAUUUUACUUUGUAUUUUCCCUUUUUAAACUUUGUGCCUGUUACUUGUUAAAUUUCUGCAGAUGUACACCUCCUAACUGAACAAUGCUGGACCGGCUCUUUGAGAUGAUAGCAAAGACUAUGAAACAAAUAAAACUGAAAUUAAUAAUGGACUCCAGGU